AAUAAGUUUAUUUUUUAGUUUUUAGAUAUAAUAUUUUGACUCUUUGUCUUAUUUGAAAAUUUUCUGCGUUUAAUUUGUAUUGUUACUAGAUGAUAAAACAUGAAUAGUACUUUUUGUCUGACUAAUUUUUUUAAGUUUCUGUAUAAAUUUUUCAAAUAAGACGAAUGAUCAAACGUUGGACACAGAAAUCGAAAAAUAAAAUUAUU
rnacentral:pre_miRNA from 1 species